rnacentral:rRNA from 1 species
UACGUAGGGGCCGAGCGUUGUCCGGAGUUAUUGGGCGUAAAGGGCGCGUAGGCGGCCUGUUAAGUCGGACGUGAAAUCCCUCGGCUCAACCGGGGAACUGCGUCCGAUACUGGCGGGCUUGAAUUCGGGAGAGGGAUGUGGAAUUCUCGGUGUAGCGGUGAAAUGCGUAGAUAUCUGGAGGAACACCGGUGGCGAAGGCGGCAUCCUGGACCAACACUGACACUGAGGAGCGAAAGCCAGGGGAGCAAACGGG